rnacentral:rRNA from 1 species
AACACGACUCUCGGCAACGGAUAUCUCGGCUCUCGCAUCGAUGAAGAACGUAGCGAAAUGCGAUACCUGGUGUGAAUUGCAGAAUCCCGCGAACCAUCGAGUCUUUGAACGCAAGUUGCGCCCGAGGCCAUUCGGCCGAGGGCACGCCUGCCUGGGCGUCACGC